CAUCUACUUUCCUAAAAACCACCUAGAAAUUUCUGUCUCAUCAACUUUCUAAAAAAUCACCUAGUUUUCUCCGGCAAUAUCUAGCAAUGAGGAAUUCAUUGAAGUGUUGAGAACUAUGAUUUGCUUUGUAGUUUAUUUAGUAUGAAAUAUUGAGCAUUUGUUACGAAAUACUAAAACAAACAUGCUUCUGUACACUCCCCUUUUUAUUGGUGUAUUGUCCAUGAUUUUUAAUGUAGAACUACAGUAUUGCUAAGUAUUUAACCCCUUAUACUCCCUUAAAAGGAGGAAAUAAAGGCGGACAAAGUAAAACAGGUGCAACCCAAAGCAAUCAAUAUAAUCUUUUUAAUGUUCUGUAAGAGAAUUGGGGACUGUGGAAAUUGAUAUCAAGUACUAUUUUUAAAGUGGCAUAUUACCCUGAGUUCUUUCAAUGUACAUCUCAUACAAUUGUGAAAGUAGAAUACUUUCUCUGAGUAGCUUUUCCUUUGCUACUCAGAUACAUAACUCAUAUGUCAAUGUUAGGGAGUUGUGGACCAGCAGUUAGAGUAGGAAACUAUUUAAUUCUUCUAAUGAACCUUAUCCGUUCACGCCUGAAUGGAACAGUCACCGUAGAUGAAUGGCUAGAAGUUCUCCGUGAUGUGUUUUUGCUUAUCAUGUUUUUUGCAUUGGGUUGUUAGAAAUUCAAAAUCUUGAUUAAAUGUUUGUUUAGUUUGCUAAUGAAGUUCAUUUCUUGUUGUGUAUGGUUGAUCUUCUAGUUUUUAUUUUUGAAAAGUGCUCAUUUCUGAAUGUGCUAUUUUUUGGUAUAAAAGAUUGGUUAUUUGAGUUGAAAGUCUUUCAGAAAUAGCUUCUCAUACCCAAUAAGGUAGAGGUAAGGUAUGCAUACACUCUACCCUCUUAAGACAUGAUUUAUGGAAGUAUAGUGAGUGUGUUGUUACAUCUGCAGAAAACAGUCGUGGAAUCUGUUACAUCUGUAUGUUGUUGUUUACUUAUUAGGUUGAUCGAUCAAAUUUUUUGUGAUCAUAUCUUGAUGUAUUUUUCAUGUUGUUGAUUGUUGUCAGAUCGUUUGUUUUCAGGUAAUGAAUGUCUUCUAUUUCAGAUGUGUACUCAUUGGCCUUUGCUGUACUUCUGUUCAUCUGAUUUAAGCUUAAACGAAUGAGAUCCUAAGGUCUGUAAUACCAUACAUUAUCAAUUCCCAAAUUAAGAUUUAUUUAACAGAGAGUUGCAAUGAGUUUUUCUGCCCUUAUAUAGUAAAAGGGCUCGCGUGCUUUUCUAGAGAUAAACUUCUUAAAGUUGACAGCGAGGGGCGUUGUCUGAUCACCAAUCAUGAUAAUUUUGGUGAGUACAUGAUAUUAAAGAAAACAACAGGGAUGUACGAUUCUUAAUAGGAAUACAAAUCGCUGUCCAAACUUUUUUUCUUCUUAAUGUUUAAGUUGGCUAAGGUUUUUGAUUCACCCCAAUUCGUGUAUAUGAGGUUGCAACUUCCUACACGAUGUUCAACAUGACAAAAGUUAGUAUUUUAUCUUGAUCUUUAGCUUGUGCACGUGCAGAAACUUUAGACCAGAUUUUAUUUAAUAUAGCUUACACAGUUUGUUGUCCCUUUAAGUUGACCAAUAACACCUUAUUUGUGGCAGAACGGCUUGUUUGAAUCAUGGUUACAGAGAUAUCGAAUAAGCUAUACUAAAGCACCUGUAUGUAAAGAGCAAUGGUCAGUGUUUUGGGUAGAUCUAUCCAGUUAUUUUGUUAGUUUUUCUAAUAGUCUUAAUAAUCCUACAUGAUUAAGAAAAGGUCAAAAAGAAUCCUAUUACUGAAAAAUGUUAGUAUCUUGCUUGUGACUUAUUUGUGUAUGCAGAAGUAACCAAGGAUGGCAUAAUUUAUGUUGGUGAAAUAGAAUGCAUGGUUGAUGAUGACGUUCAGAGGUAUAAAGAACUUUUGGAGGCAAUCAGAAGAUGACCAUCCGAGGUCCUAAUGUUUUCAGACACAAAGACAUACAGUAUAUUUCAUCGAAACUGAAGGGCCUAAUCAAAAGCAAAAAUAGUUAGCAACCUGGGAAGCAGAUCUGCAAAGGAGAGAAACGGUUCUUUUUCUUUUUAUUUUUAAAAGUUGUUUGCUAUGUGCAUUGCUGCAAAGUACACUUUUUUCUGUGAUUUUUGAUCAGCUACUGCUGCGGGGAUGCAAAUAUCAAAAAGUUUAGUUAGUAGUUUUUUUGGCUAAACUAUUUACUACAGCUUCCUCAAUUCGUGUAGUGUUUUCUUAGUCUAUAUUUAUCCAAAUUCAGUUUGAGGCUCGUGAAUGCUUUUCAAAAUUCUUUGCUUUAGCUAAAUGCGUUGUUAUGAGUUUUUUGAUACGUAGUUUAUUCUACUUCAUAUUUUCUUCAAUUUAGUUUGAGGAAGAUUCAUGAUUCAUAUUUAGUACCAGUUUAACAGGCUAUUGAACAAGGAGAAGAUGUUGUUGAUGGCGCUGGAGUGCCAACUGAUGAUAGGAAUUGCCCUUCCUUUUUUACGAUUAUUCAUCCUGAUAUAGCAAAUGUAUACCAGCUCAUUCUCAGCGGCUGCCAUCUUUGGCUUUUGCAAGCUUGUUAGUCAGCGUAAAUGGAUGGCUAGAAUUUGCAGCAGCAUCACAAACAGUUGUUCUAUUUAAGGAACUGUCUCGAAGUGUUCAUGAUAUUCAAUGCAAGGAGCUUAUUUGUUAUUUGUAAUCCGCAGAUACCAGAGGAGGCAAGUAAUGGUAUGUAAUUAUACUUUUUCAAACUGAAACAGUCAACGUAAAUGGAUGGCUAGAAAUAUGCAGCACAAGCACAAACAGUUGUCCUAUUUAAGGAACUGUGGCCAAGUCUUCAUGAUAUUUAAUGCAAGGAGCUUAUUUGUAAUUUGCAGAGGACAUAAUUAACAGGAUGCAAUUAUAUGAUGAAGUUACACAAAUUCAUUAUAAAAGGUAUGUAAUUGUUUCAACUCAAAUUUAUAAUAUUUGUAUAAAAGAAUUAGGAUGAUAGACUCAUAAAUGUAACUUAUAAUUACCUCGAAAAGCUCAUCUCCUCCAUAGUUUUGUGCACCUUCAAAAAGGGAUCCUAAUACAUACAAUAAAGUCAUC